AACGAACGCUGGCGGCAUGCCUAACACAUGCAAGUCGAACGAGAUCUUCGGGUCUAGUGGCGCACGGGUGCGUAACGCGUGGGAAUCUGCCCUUUGGUUCGGAAUAACAGUUGGAAACGACUGCUAAUACCGGAUGAUGACGAAAGUCCAAAGAUUUAUCGCCAGAGGAUGAGCCCGCGUAGGAUUAGCUAGUUGGUGUGGUAAAGGCGCACCAAGGCGACGAUCCUUAGCUGGUCUGAGAGGAUGAUCAGCCACACUGGGACUGAGACACGGCCCAGACUCCUACGGGAGGCAGCAGUGGGGAAUAUUGGACAAUGGGCGAAAGCCUGAUCCAGCAAUGCCGCGUGAGUGAUGAAGGCCUUAGGGUCGUAAAGCUCCUUUACCCGGGAUGAUAAUGACAGUACCGGGAGAAUAAGUUCCGGCUAACUCCGUGCCAGCCGCCGCCGUAA
rnacentral:rRNA from 1 species